rnacentral:rRNA from 1 species
UGGGGGAUAUUGCACAAUGGACGAAAGUCUGAUGCAGCGACGUCGUGUGGGGGAUGAAGGCCUUCGGGUUGUAAACUCCUUUCGCCCGCGGAAAAGGCAGGGUUUUGGCCUUGUUGAUGGUAGUGGGUAAAGAAGCGCCGGCUAACUACGUGCCAGCAGCCGCGGUAAUACGUAGGGCGCGAGCGUUGUCCGGAAUUAUUGGGCGUAAAGGGCUCGUAGGCGGUUUGUCGCGUCUAGCGUUUAAGGCUCGGGAUUAACCAGGGUUUGCGUUGGGUACGGGAAGGCUUGAGUGCGGUAGGGGUAACUGGAAUUCCUGGUGUAGCGGUGGAAUGCGCAGAUAUCAGGAGGAACACCGGUGGCGAAGGCGGGUUACUGGGCCGUUACUGACGCUGAGGAGCGAGAGCGUGGGGAGCGAACAGG